UAAUUAUUAUUUUUUUCUUAAUUGGGUACUUCUGUUGUUACUUAAAGUACAUUUUCCUGAUGAUACUUGUGUUACUAAAGUACCAUUUUCAAUGCAGAACUUGUAACAGUAUUUUCACAAGGUGUUAUUAAUAAUUCUUCCACCACUGCCAAUACUACAGUUUGCAGUCCAACAUGUGAAACUAGUUAAAAGGUAAAACCAGACAGGAGAAUCCUUCUUGCCACGUUUGCAUAACUGAGCACUAAAAGUUUCCAUGUUUUUAGCCAUGAUAUUGAAAUAUUGAUUCCAUUUUCCUGAUUUGAAAGGAGCCGAACCCACAGAGGACUGAACUCCACCAGCUGCAGCCAGACUCUCAGCCUGAAACUGCUUCGACAUUUCAGGACGGAGACGCAGGAAGAGAGAGAGACGGCCAAAAGAAGAGGGAGAAGAAGAAACAGGAGACCACGGGGAGAGUCAAGUUCCUGCCUACAGGUGUACGUGUGCAUGUGAGGCCUGGAGGCAUCAAACGGUUCUGUGCGUGAGAAAAACAGUGAGUUUUUCUCCAGAGAGGGGAAGAAUAUGGCCAAAUUCUGGGAACUCUGAUCUUCAAAAUCACAGCCUCUUGGGUCAGAGCGAGGUUGAUCUCUUGCAUGCUGGCUGUGGGAACCGCCGACACGCAUGCGAUGCACACACACGCAGCUGAGACCGCGGUCGAAUGUUUUAGACGCCCUGUGUCCAUAAAAGGUCAUAGAGAAACAUGUGAGCGAAAGAAAAUGGAGGAAGAAAGUUUUUCUUGUUGGAGGUUGGAAUGUAUGACAUGUCCAUUGAGAGUUUGCAUGCCUUCUCCCCCUCUAACCGCCUGUCUCUCAAAGCUCUGGUUCUCACUGUCUCCUCACCACUUUCUCUUGCAGAGCUUUGUGAUGGCACCCUGAGGGCCGACCAGGCUGAGCACAGCCCACUGGACCAGUUUGCCCAGUAUAAGCCACUG